AUAUUGCUUUUCCUGAGCAAUGAGGAGAGAAAAUGGUCCACAUUAAUAUUAUUUCAGCUCUUGAUUCCAGCUGUGUCUGAUGACCUAUCUCCAUGAUCUUUUGCACAUCACUAACCACCCCAUCAUCUUUAAAAAAAAAAAAAAGAACAAUUCUAAUUUGAGUUGGAGGUCUUUCUCUUACCUGACAUUGCCUUUUAGAUGUCUCAAGUCAUUUCAAAUUCAACAGGUUGAAUACUAAAACUCAUGAUCUUCUCUGCCAAACUGGCUCUUUCCUAGUGUUCCCUAUCUUACUGAUUGGUACCACCAUUCAACUGGUACAGUUGUGCCAGUCAGAAACCUAGGUGUCAUCCUAGAUCCACAUCUCUCUCACCUCCCACAUCUUCUGUCAUCAUAGCCUGUUCUGAAUACCUUCUAAAGAGUCCUUGACUGUCCUCCUCUCUCCACUUCCACUGCCACCAGUUGCAUCCACCUCUGGCCUGGAUCAUCUAAGUAGCCAAGUAAUUCAUCUCUCUGCUUUCAUUUCUUAUUUUUUCCAGUUUGUUCCCCAGAGUACAAAGUAAUCUUUUUGACACACAAAUUCAAGAUUCACUUCUAGCUUAACAUCCCACAGUGGCUUCCCAUUGCUCCUGGAAAAUUUGAAGUCCUCUAAUGUAGCCCUUGUGAUGCUGUAUGGUCCAUCCUACUUUCAGGGCCUGAUGUGCAUCAAGCUUUCUCCUACCAUGAGGUCUCAGAACAUGCAGUUUCCUCUACCUGCAAUACUCUUUUCUCCCCUUUUCACCCACUUGACUAAGACUGAGGCUCCUACUACAAAACUCAAAGGGGAAGAAGGUCAUUUCUCUCCCUGCAACCAGGAAGGCAUAUGAUCUUAGCCUGGACAAGAAAGAAAUCUUGAGGAAAUACUGCAAAAACACAGAGGGCUAAUGGAUUAUUAUUCUUGGCUGGGCAGAAUCAGCUGGGCAGUGUCAUGGUGGCAAGUAACCAGGGGUGGCGGUCAUGAGUCAGGUAUUAGCUCCUUUAGAAAGGAGUCUUGACUAUGUUUGGCCUCCCUUGGUUCCUAACUUAGUCUAACUCUCUAAUGUUUCUAUCAAUUCUAUGAGCUAUCUGAUACUCUUGAAGAUUAUUUUUCUGCUUAACUUGACCAGAGUCAGUUUCAUUUGUAUAACCAACAAUCCUGAUGAAUAGUACAGUGUGAUUCAUUUAUUAAUGGCUAUUUCAUCUCUAGGAGAGGAAGUUCUAUGGCUAUCUAGCUUAUCAUUGUAUUUGAAGAUGCUCUUCAGGUGCCUGGAAUAUAAGUAGUACUUAAUAAAUAAUUUUUAGAUGAGUAGAUAGAUUCCUCUUGACAUUUCAAUAGCACUUUGCACUGAUUUUUGUAUUGUAAUCUUGGUUUUGCCUUUAAGAGCAUAUACCUUGCCUUAGUCAUCUUUGGCUUUUGCCUAGUGACUGACACUCUGGCUGACUCAUAGUAGGUGCUCCAGGUCCUUAUGCAGAUUUAGCCACACAUUAAUUUGCUUUGUAAAGCUGGCUGCAGGUGCUUAUCUUAGCAUCAUGUACCAGAUUGACAUCUCCCCGACACACCUCCACCCCAAGCUUCUGAGGCUGGUCACAUGUCAGAGUACCUCCAUUAUUCAGUCCUUUCUACACUAUACCUGACAACAGCAUAGCUACUUAUGCCUGUGAGAUUAAAGUUUCCAAUUACCUAGGGGAUUUAGCAAUGAAAUUCUAGAGAAUAUAUGUAUAAUUUGUCAUCAUCCUUAUGUAGUGGGCCUUGCAGAUUUUUGACCUUUCUAUGUAUUAAAAACCAGAAACAAACCAACCAACAAAUCCUCACUUUAUUGAGGUAUGACUUAUACAGGAUAAAAGCCAGCAAUUUAAAGUGUACAAUUUAUUGAGUACUAAGAAAUACACACAGUCACGUAAUUACUACCACAACCGUGGCACAGAAUAUUUUAGCACUCCAUGUACUUCCCCGUGUCUCCAUGCAAACAUUCCUUAUCUUCUUCCUCUAACCCCUGGCUAUGGAUGAUUUGCUUUCUAUCCCUAUGGUUUUGCUUUUUAUGGAGUUUUGUAGAAAUGGAGUUAUAUAGUAUGUAAUCUAUGUCGGGCUUAUUUCAGUCCCAGCAUAAUACUGCUGAGAUUCCUCCAUGAUGCUGCUUGUAUAUCAGUAGGUUUUCCUUCAUUGCCGAGCAGCACACCAUUACUUCGACAUAGC
rnacentral:lncRNA from 1 species